AUCCAGCUGAUGAGUCCCAUAUAGGAGUAAACGUGUGUUUUGCAU
rnacentral:hammerhead_ribozyme from 1 species